rnacentral:lncRNA from 1 species
GGGAUUGAAAGAAGAGGGGUUCCAAUCUCAAAGGACCUUUCAUAAAACUCUGCCAUUGGGAGGGCAGAAGAUCCAGUGAACAGAGACCCAGAUUGUGAAUCCGGAGACAUGGGGAGUCAUGCCCUGCCAUGGGUUCUGUGGCUCAUGUCCUGAGCUCAACAGCUUUGCCUCUCUGGACCUCUGUUUUCUCAUCUGCAGAAUGAGCUAGUUGGGCUUGACCUCCGCACUCCCUCUGGCACUACUCUUGUAGAGCUGGCUGGGGGAAGGGCUGAGAUUUAGAGACUUGGGGUGGUAGUGUGACCUCUUCUCCCACCUGCUCCCGCCUGGAUUUCUGGAGUUCCAGAGGACAAACCCCACUGUGUCCAUAACUGGAGUUGCCUAAAGACUCAGGACAGGGCGGGGAGGCAGGUGGGGAGAUUGAUAGCAAAAGUCAAACAUGGGGCUCCCAGGACACGGCUCACCCUUAGGGAGAAAGGACUCGGUAACACAGAUCUAAGUCGGAAGGAAGCAGGGGUCCCGGCUGGUGUGGCGACAUCUAACACAACCAGCCAUCUAGCGGCUCGCAGACAGCUGGGGCAGCUCAGCAAACUCCCAGUCCCCAGAAUGCUGAGCGACCCUGCUCUAGGACCUGUGGUAUAGUCACACGCUAGGGCAGGAACCCGUUCUUCUUCUUCUCCCCAGCAGGGUGCCAGGAGCCAAAGGCCCAGGAACACUGCAAUUUGCAGACAUGACUGAGACCUCCCCAGGGACUUUCCAGAGAGGCUGUGGGCCCGAGAAGCCCUGCGCAGGUUGGUGUCCUGGGGUAGAGCCAGGGACAGGAAACCGAUGUGAGUCUGGCCUCCUCUGGGCACCCUGUGAGCCCAUUCUAGUUUCACAAGAGCUUCAAAGGAUACCAAGACCUGAACCGGGUCUGGUGACCCCAUUCUGGGGAAGUGGCUGCCUGGACACAGGAGGGAGGAGACCAGCCUCUGCAAGAAGCACAGUGGGCACGCCUGGUGUCACUGCUGGCCAAGCAAGGGCCAGACUUCUCCAGAGGCAGGACCGGUGA